AACGAACGCUGGCGGCAGGCUUAACACAUGCAAGUCGAGCGCCCCGCAAGGGGAGCGGCAGACGGGUGAGUAACGCGUGGGAAUCUACCCAUCUCUACGGAAUAACGCAUGGAAACGUGUGCUAAUACCGUAUACGUCCUUCGGGAGAAAGAUUUAUCGGAGAUGGAUGAGCCCGCGUUGGAUUAGCUAGUUGGUGGGGUAAAGGCCUACCAAGGCGACGAUCCAUAGCUGGUCUGAGAGGAUGAUCAGCCACACUGGGACUGAGACACGGCCCAGACUCCUACGGGAGGCAGCAGUGUGGAAUAUUGGACAAUGGUCGCAAGCCUGAUCCAGCCAUGCCGCGUGAGUGAUGAAGGCCCUAGGGUUGUAAAGCUCUUUCACCGGUGAAGAUAAUGACGGUAACCGGAGAAGAAGCCCCGGCUAACUUCGUGCCAGCCGCCGCAGUAACAC
rnacentral:rRNA from 1 species